CUGCGCCGAGCCCCGCGGGGGAGGCAAGGCUGCUGCCGGCCGCCUCGGGGGAGCGGGCUGCGCGGCCGCCCCCGCCUAUAGGGGGCGAGGUGCCGCGACUGGGCGGGUGGCGUGUGGGGCGUCAGGCCAGCCUCAGGCCAGGCGGCGGCCGGUACCGGCAGGGCCCCAGCCCCACGCCAGCCUCUCCACCCCGGCCGAGGGUGCCUGAAGGCGGCGGGUGAGGAGGGCCGCAUGCCCACCGCCCUCAUCUUUGAUAAGUUGAUGAGUGACGAGGCGCCUGGCCCCUCUUGGCCUGCGCACCCCUCGCCUGGAGCGACGGCUGCUGUGAUGGGGCUGGCGUGAGGUUUGUGACCUGGAACUGGUUCACGAGUGGCUCACCUGAAAACCCUCCCUGCAUCAUUAUUUUUGCUUGCACUGUCCAGCGUGAAGUUCAUGCAGGUUGCUCGAUCGUAGGGAGUUGGGAGAGGCAGGCACAAUUCCACCUCUGAGGACCACGAAAGGAAGACAACAACACAGAGCAUUCAACAGAGCUGUUUUAAAGCAUCAGCUCCCAGAAGAAAUACCACUGAAUUCAGAAGUAGUCUAUUUAAGCUGCGUGGUGUUUAAAAAUUGCUGGAAGAGGUUAAGGGUGCAGGUACUGAGCAGAUAGCAGUUCUAUGUGUCAGCAUUUCUCUGGUGACUCCCAGCUUUUGCAGAAUUUAUGUUUUGAGUAAAAGGAUGCAAUUAUUUUUAUAGAUUAAAAAAAUAAAAUCUUUAUGUGUACACUGACUCCACACAGUCCUGGUCAACGCCAAGAAAAGUAAACUCUUCAUCUGAGGCAAGAUGUAGACUAUAUCAAUGAGGUCAUGUCUGAAGCUUAAUUAUGAGAUAAUAGUUGCAUCUUCUAAUUUCAGGCUUAAUCGGUUUUAUGACACCCAGCUUCACAGAGCAGAGCCGGUGUGAAUGCAAUAGGGACGACUUUUGCUACUUGAACGUCAUUAUUCCCUUGGCACACACUUGGCCACCACCAGUACUUGCCCGACAGCCGUACAGCCAUCCUGAGGGCAUUCAGGCUAGCGCAACUGACCUCGGAGCAGAAAGGGUACAGGCCAGAUCACCUCUUCCCUCAUGGCUGCUGGACCUGACAGACCUCCCCGAGGUGACCGAAGCCAGAGGCCCCUCGAGUGCCACAUUAGCCAAGGCCUCAGCUCGAGUUAGCUAACCUGAGGUAAAGCCCCCUCCAAGAUGAGGUAACCUUUAGUGCUCACAUUAGUGACCGUGCAGGACUGAUUAGUCAGAUAGCUACAAUGAAGAAUACAUCCCUUCUUCAUUUAAAUCUUUCCGAUUUAAAUGUUUUCUGUCUUUAGAGGGGAGGGGAGGGAGCCCCCUAAGAAACUCUGAAGGAACCAGCUAAUAAAACCAUAGUGUUACAUCACUGCAAGACUGUCAUCCCCUGUGGCAGGGAUGGAUCUGACUGGCUUUAAGUUGCUCAUCCGUAUCCCAAUGGACAUAGGCCAACUGCGGUUCUGAGGCCCAGCCUAUGACAAGU